rnacentral:lncRNA from 9 species
GUGAAAGGUGGCCCAGGCCCCUGAAAGGCCUGCCCGGGCCAAGCUGUGUGAAAAGCUCUGUGGCCUCCUUGGCGGUUUCCUGCCCAGCCUUAACCUUGGGGGGGCAGGGGGGGCUCCUGCGGGUUUCACUCCCUCUGAGAUCUGCUUGGAGCCUGGAGGCUCCAGUGACGCUCUAAAAGCUCUAAGCCAAACUCAGCACCAAGCAACCACUUCCCCCUUUAUUUUUCGGCCCCGUUCUCUGCUUUCCCCGAGGCCAGACCUGCAAGGUAACAAGGCUGGGCCCCAAAGACUGCUCGCCACGGCUGCUCACACCAAAGACCCAAGUCUGCAAAGGAGGGGUCCCCGGGCCUCCCGGCCUGACUGGGAGAACUCCCCCUGCUCCCCCCGAGCUCCCCCCACCCUCGGAGUCUGCAUGCGAGCAGGAGGGGACUCGGGGACUCAGAGCCUCGGCCGCAAGCUGCGAAGAUGCGCGGCUGUCCUCGUGUGUGUGCGGGGUCGGCCGCUUUGCCCUGGUAGCCCGUCCACACGGCAGGGAGCCGCUUCUAAACUGUAGCAAUAGCGCUUCGGACCAAACUGCGCGGCGCUGGCGAGCAGGGCUGCCAAGCCCCACGGCCGGGCCCUCGUGUUGCAACACGUCUGCUUCCCGUCAGGGAGGGGAUGACAGCUCCCCCCGCACUCGCUCCCACGAACCGUACAAAAUGUUUAGCCAAAUCCUCUAAGAACAUGUACAUAAAGCUGUCUCCAGGCUCCCGGGGCCGUGAUGUCUUUCUCUUUCCGAUCGCUUCUUUCUCCCUACACGUCCGGAGCAGAACCGCCAUCCGGGGUGGCUGAAACCUGCUCACACGGCCAUGCCCCUGGCUCGGGCACCCAGAUGCCCGACCUCCCAUGUGUGCCUCCUACAGGACCCCGAUGCCUGGGGACGUUCAGAAUCAGCCAGCUUUUUGGCACGGAGAGUGUCUGCAGAGGAGCAGAUGGACAGGAUGCUGAGAGAGAGAGAGACCGAUUUGAUCAUUGUCUUCCUGCGCUCCAGCCUCAGGGAGACACCUCAGGAGCCAGCCUGUGGCCAUCGGCACCGACAGAACUGCAGCAGUCACGGGAAGCAGUAAAGGAUGGUUACUUCUUUCAGUCUCUCUCCAGAAGGGGAUAGGAAGUAUGGACUUGAAUGACCGCUAUAACCUUCCCGGAGACAAAACCUGUGGGCGUGGCUCCAACAUGUGCCUUGGGAUGUCGCAACGUCCUAAAAGAC